UUUGGUGGCGAUAGCGAAGGGGUUCCACACGUUCCCAUCCCGAACACGACCGUUAAGCCCUU
rnacentral:rRNA from 1 species